AUUCCUCCAUCCCUCUGUCCUUCCAUCCCUCCAUCCUCCAUCCCUCUAUCCCUCCAUCCCUCCAUCCAUCCCUCCAUCCCUUCAUCCUUCCCUCCAUCCUUUGACAACAAUCUGUUCCAGCUGCUCUCAUUCUCCUCGCCCCAAACGAUCCAGGAGCACAUCUUCUCCUCCUGCACAGUCAGCUGCUCCUGGAGUGACAGCUCCUGCGUCUCCAUGACUCCCACCAACACAGCUCCCAUCCUCUGAGUUUGACACCCCCGAUUAGGAGGGAAAGCGGCGUGGCGAGGAUGCAGCUCCAACCGCCGCAGCCGGAGGUGCUGCGAGCCGGAAAGUGAGCUCUCUUGUUUCAGGUCUGCAGCAGAGCUUGUUUACAUGAGCAGCUGAGGAGGAGGGGGCGUUCAGCCUGACAGGCGAGGCCCCCGCCUUGGAGAACAAGAUGUCUGAGGAGGCCGCUGUUCCACCUGCACGCAGAGAAGUUUCCUCAUGAAAUGCUUCCUAAAUAUCUGACAAAAAAAAUCGAGCAGAAGAGGAUAAUUGGAACCUGGACGCUGAGACAUGGCUGCCUCUCAUCCUGAGCUCCUCAGAGCCUGCAGCAUCUCUCUGCUGUCUGUCAGACGUCUCUGCCGCCUCGGUUCCUGGGAUGUGACGCAGACGCUUUAAGGAGGGAAAUGAAAGGCUCCUGAUUGUAGAAAGAUCUCUGACUGAUGCUUCAGAAGGACUUAGACAUCACAGGUCACACUGAACCCAGAGAUGAACUUCACAACUACAACUUCUCAAUCAGAGGCUAACUUGAUCCUCUGCAGGCUGAAGUUCAACAGAACAACAGCAACGUCCUGAUGAAAAAAGAAUCCAGGACAGAUUCAUAAAACAAGAUUAAAGGAGAACAAUCUAAAGCUGGUGAAGGAGGAGAUUCAGUAGCUAAGGUCGGGUCUACAGGUGUGAAAAUGGAUCUGUAGCUGAUUCAAGAUGAUCCAUACUGGAUAAAAGAUCAAAGGAAGAUCCACAGGUGAUGAAGGAUGAUUGACACCUGAUAAGGAGAAAUCUAAAACAGGAGAAGAAAGAUCGACAGCUGAUGAAAAUGGAUUAAGAACUGCUAGAGGAUCCACAGCUGAUGAAGACUUCUCUUUGGCUGUUAAAAAUGAUCUUCAUUGUCGGUUGAAGGAUCUACAGAUGAUGACGAUGAAUCUGCAGCAUCCUAAGCUGGAUUUAUAACUGCUAAAGGCUGAUCUAAAGAAGGAUCUAGACCUGGUGAUGAGGAAUCGAUUUGAUUACUGAGAAACGCACAAUGAAUAAUAAUGAACGUUAAAACACGUAAAUAUUUCAGAUUAUUGCCUCAAACUAAUUUCCUUCUGGAUUCCUUUCGGCAGGUUGAUGUUAAAAGAAAUAAAACAGAGUUUAAGACAGCGGUCUGCAACCUUUAACACUUGAAGGAGUUGAUUUCUCACCGACCACAACCCGGUAGAAGCCUCACAUCCUUUAGAAAAUCAGACUUUGUAUUUAUCUUAUUGUUAUUUUUCUUAAGAAACAUAAACUAUAAUUUUUUUGGCAUAAAUAAAAAGGACUUUAUGAGGCAUUUGACUUUUUUCCUAAAUAUGAUACAGUUCAUACCUUUUAAUAGAGGUUCAUAAGACUUCCUUUCAAAAUAAAAGACUUCCUGUGUCACAGGAUCAUCUCGAUGGAGCAGAUCUAGUGGUAGGUCGAAUAAUGUCAGCAAAACAUUUUUUUUAAAUGUUUGCGGAGCUUCUUAGCCAGAAAUUCAUACGUUUAACUUUAUAAAAUUAAAAUAGGGAUAAUUAGCCGUAUGUUUUUGACCGUGAGGCACACCUAAACCACUGGAGUUUUUCCAAAGUUUAGUUCUCGAUUAUCAAACCCCUUAUAAGUUACUUUACUUUUUUUACAGUUACUUUUAAACUAAAAGCGUUGUAUUCUUCUUUAACCAGAGUCACAAUGGAUUGGUAGAAGAGCCAGACGUGGCUCUGGAGCUGCAGGUUGAAGGGAUAGACAGUUUACAGAGUUAUAAAAUGCAGGUUCUCAAACCAAAGGCGGAUCCAGAUACCUAAGGAGGAUCUACAGCUGAUGAAAAUGGAUCUACAGCUGAAGGAUCAGCCACAGCUAUCAAAGAAGGAGCUACAGCUGCUCCAGGAAAAACUUGAGUCGCUAAAGGAGGAUUUUAAGGAUGUGAAAGAGGGAUCUACUGCCAAUGAAGAAGAAUCAGCUACUGACAAACCAUCCACACGUAUGUUCAUACACUUGUGCAUAAAAGCCUUAUUGCACGUGUCAAAGUCAAGGCCCGGGGGCCGGAUCCGGCCCUCCGGGUAAUUCCAUCCGGCCCUCCAGAUCAUUUUAUUUUAUUAUUAAUGACC